rnacentral:rRNA from 1 species
GAUGAACGCUGGCGGCGUGCUUAACACAUGCAAGUCGAACGGAAAGGCCCAAGCUUGCUUGGGUACUCGAGUGGCGAACGGGUGAGUAACACGUGGGUGAUCUGCCCUGCACUUCGGGAUAAGCCUGGGAAACUGGGUCUAAUACCGGAUAGGACCACUUCUUGGAUGUUGUGGUGGAAAGUUUUUUCGGUGUGGGAUGAGCUCGCGGCCUAUCAGCUUGUUUGUGGGGUAAUGGCCUACCAAGGCGUCGACGGGUAGCCGGCCUGAGAGGGUGUACGGCCACAUUGGGACUGAGAUACGGCCCAGACUCCUACGGGAGGCAGCAGUGGGGAAUAUUGCACAAUGGGCGCAAGCCUGAUGCAGCGAAGCCGCGUGGGGGAUGACGGGCUUCGGGUUGUAAACGCCUUUCGCUAGGGACGAAGCGUUUUGUGACGGUACCUGGAGAAGAAGCACCGGCUAACUACGUG